UACGUAGGGUCCGAGCGUUGUCCGGAAUUACUGGGCGUAAAGAGCUCGUAGGUGGUUUGUCGCGUUGUUCGUGAAAAACUCACAGCUUAACUGUGGGCGUGCGGGCGAUACGGGCAGACUUGAGUACUGCAGGGGAGACUGGAAUUCCUGGUGUAGCGGUGGAAUGCGCAGAUAUCAAAGAGGAACACCUGAGGCGAGGCGGGUUGCUAGGCUGAACACUGACGCUGAGUGCGCGAAAGCCAGGGGAGCGAACAGG
rnacentral:rRNA from 1 species